rnacentral:lncRNA from 1 species
UUUAAUCAAAAUUUAAAAAUUUGAGAAUGAAAUUGAAGAUUACAUGGGAAUAUUACAGUUACAGUAUCUAAUUUUGUUGACAAAUUUCUAAAUCGACCAUGAUGUAUAACAGAUAACGCAAUCAGACAAAAGAUUGAACCAGCUUUGCUCAAUUUUUUCCCACACAUGGGUUGGACAAUUCAGGGAUACAAGAGGAAACAGAUUGAUCGGCAAGCUCCAAUUCGUAAUAGAAACAUAAAUACAAUGUUCAACAUCAGUAUUGAGUA